CGAUGUCCCAACUCAUCUUGCACAUCCGCGGCCACCACAAAUGCACCCUGCUCUGCAAAUACUCUCACCGCCUCCUCGCCAAUGCCGCUGGCCGCACCGAUGAGCUGAGAUGAACUGAGGGAGGGUGCAGAUGAGACGCCCGCAGUAGCCAAGUAUUUAUAGCUGUCAGUAUAUGCAUGUAUGCAGUAGCCACUAGUUUUUUCUUUUAAUUUAGGGUGACCAAAAAAGAGUGGUAUUUGACGCACAAGCAUUAAACGCAACUCCCGCAUGCAUGCAGGGCUCGAGAAAUGAAAAUUGGCUUCCCUCACA